GUAGGGAAUCUUCCACAAUGGGCGAAAGCCUGAUGGAGCAACGCCGCGUGGGUGAAGAAGGUCUUCGGAUCGUAAAACCCUGUUGUUAGAGAAGAAAGUGCGUGAGAGUAACUGUUCACGUUUCGACGGUAUCUAACCAGAAAGCCACGGCUAACUACGUGCCAGCAGCCGCGGUAAUACGUAGGUGGCAAGCGUUAUCCGGAUUUAUUGGGCGUAAAGGGAACGCAGGCGGUCUUUUAAGUCUGAUGUGAAAGCCUUCGGCUUAACCGGAGUAGUGCAUUGGAAACUGGGAGACUUGAGUGCAGAAGAGGAGAGUGGAACUCCAUGUGUAGCGGUGAAAUGCGUAGAUAUAUGGAAGAACACCAGUGGCGAAAGCGGCUCUCUGGUCUGUAACUGACGCUGAGGUUCGAAAGCGUGGGUAGCAAACAGGAUUAGAUACCCUGGUAGUCCACGCCGUAAACGAUGAAUGCUAAGUGUUGGAGGGUUUCCGCCCUUCAGUGCU
rnacentral:rRNA from 1 species